GAGUCUGAGGCUCUUUUCAACGCUGUAGAAAAGGACAGAGGCUGUUCCUUAUGGCAGAAGGCAACCACAGAAAAAAACCACUUAAGAUGUUGGAAUCCCUGGGCAAAGAUUUCCUCACUGGUGUUUUGGAUAACUUGGUGGAACAAAAUGUGCUGAACUGGAAGGAAGAGGAAAAAAAGAAAUAUUAUGAUGCUAAAACUGAAGACAAAGUUCGGGUCAUGGCAGACUCUAUCCAAGAGAAGCAACGUAUGGCAGGACAAAUGCUUCUUCAAACCUUUUUUAACAUAGACCAAAUAUCCCCCAAUAAAAAUGCUCAUCCGAAUAUGGAGGCUGGACCACCUGAGUCAGGAGAAUCUACAGAUGCCCUCAAGCUUUGCCCUCAUGAAGAAUUCCUGAGACUAUGUAAAGAAAGAGCUGAAGAGGUGCUAUGCUAUCUACAUGAAAUAGAAAAAAAAGAAGAGAUAUCAUCGCUUUCCUUCAGUGCACCAUUUCUUACAGCACUAAAUGAUUGGGGGUGGGGAUGACAGUAACCAUUUUCAAUAAUGCUUUUACUAAGGGAAAGAUUAUGUGACUUCACAACGAUACCAAUCCUUUAUCAAUCCAUGAUGCAGAUCAUUUUAUCAUGAGUUGAAAGAAAAUUGGUAUUUCUAUUGCUCCUGUAUUUAUUCUUGUAAUUAUUUGGAUUUUAUGGCAAUUGUAGCAUUAGCCAUGGAAUAAACACAUUUGGAGGAUAAUAUAGCUGACUUGUAAUUGGUUGCAAUCUAGUUGAAAAGCUAGAUAUGAAGGAUACUUGGGAAAUAUAAUUAAAGCUUGAAAAACAUUAUAAAUUUAUGUGUUAAAAAUAGUAACAAAAUAGCUAUUCUUCCAAAGUCAAAGACUUUUGCUGUAUUCAUUUUUCAUUGGAGUCAAUGACAUCU
rnacentral:sRNA from 1 species